AUUGAACGCUGGCGGCAGGCCUAACACAUGCAAGUCGAACGAGUGGCGGACGGGUGAGUAAUGUCUGGGAAACUGCCCGAUGGAGGGGGAUAACUACUGGAAACGGUCGCUAAUACCGCAUACCAUCGGAUGUGCCCAGAUGGGAUUAGCUUGUAGGUGAGGUAACGGCUCAACGAGGCGACGAUCCCUAGCUGGUCUGAGAGGAUGACGAGUCACACUGGAACGGAGACACGGUCCAGACUCCGACGUGAGGAAGCAGUGGGGAAUAUUGCACAAUGGGCGCAGGCCUGAUGCAGCCAUGCCGCGUGGAUGAAGAAGGCCUUCGGUUUGUAAAGUACUUUCAGUGGUGAGGCGUUAACCGCAGAAGAAGCCCCGGCGAACUCCGUGCCAGCAGCCGCGGUAAUUC
rnacentral:rRNA from 1 species